GAGUUUGAUCGUGGCUCAGAUUGAACGCUGGCGGCAUGCCUUACACAUGCAAGUCGAGCGGCAGCGCGGGGGCAACCCUGGCGGCGAGCGGCGAACGGGUGAGUAAUACAUCGGAACGUGUCCAGUAGUGGGGGAUAACCAGUCGAAAGAUUGGCUAAUACCGCAUACGAUCUACGGAUGAAAGCGGGGGACCGCAAGGCCUCGCGCUAUUGGAGCGGCCGAUGUCGGAUUAGCUAGUUGGCGGGGUAAAAGCCCACCAAGGCGACGAUCCGUAGCUGGUCUGAGAGGACGAUCAGCCACACUGGAACUGAGACACGGUCCAGACUCCUACGGGAGGCAGCAGUGGGGAAUUUUGGACAAUGGGGGCAACCCUGAUCCAGCCAUGCCGCGUGAGUGAAGAAGGCC
rnacentral:rRNA from 1 species